rnacentral:rRNA from 1 species
GCAAGUCGAACGAUGAAGCCAGCUUGCUGGUGGAUUAGUGGCGAACGGGUGAGUAACACGUGGGUGAUCUGCCCCAAACUUUGGGAUAAGCCUGGGAAACUGGGUCUAAUACCGAAUAUUACCUUCUCCUGCAUGGGGGUUGGUGGAAAGCUCCGGCGGUUUGGGAUGGGCCCGCGGCCUAUCAGCUUGUUGGUGGGGUAAUGGCCUACCAAGGCGACGACGGGUAGCCGGCCUGAGAGGGCGACCGGCCACACUGGGACUGAGACACGGCCCAGACUCCUACGGGAGGCAGCAGUGGGGAAUAUUGCACAAUGGGCGCAAGCCUGAUGCAGCGACGCCGCGUGAGGGAUGACGGCCUUCGGGUUGUAAACCUCUUUCACCAGGGACGAAGCGAAAGUGACGGUACCUGGAGAAGAAGCACC